rnacentral:rRNA from 2 species
AGCAGGUCCCAAGGGUAUGGCUGUUCGCCAUUUAAAGCGGUACGUGAGUUGGGUUCAGAACGUCGUGAGACAGUUCGGUCCCUAUCUGCCGUGGGUGUAGGAAUAUUGACAGGAUCUGUCCCUAGUACGAGAGGACCGGGAUGGACGUAUCUCUGGUGGACCUGUUGUCGUGCCAACGGCAUAGCAGGGUAGCUAUAUACGGACGGGAUAACCGCUGAAGGCAUCUAAGCGGGAAACCCACCUGAAAACGAGUAUUCCCUAUCAGAGCCGUGGAAGACCACCACGUUGAUAGGCCGGGUGUGGAAGUGCGGCAACGCAUGCAGCUUACCGGUACUAAUAGCUCGAUCGACUUGAUCAC